UACAGAAGGUGCAAGCGUUAAUCGGAAUUACUGGGCGUAAAGCGUGCGCAGACGGUUGCGUAAGUCAGAUGUGAAAGCCCCGGGCUCAACCUGGGAAUUGCAUUUGAGACUGCGUAGCUAGGGUGCGGAAGAGGGAAGCGGAAUUUCCGGUGUAGCGGUGAAAUGCGUAGAUAUCGGAAGGAACACCAGUGGCGAAAAGCGGCUUCCUGGUCCAGCACCGACGUCAGGCACGAAAGCGUGGGGAGCAAACAGG
rnacentral:rRNA from 1 species